GGCUGGUUCAAAGGUAGCAAGGCCCUGCGGAGUCUGAAGCUGGAGGGCAACUUGCUCACCAGUUUGGACUCUGGUUCCUUCCCUCUGAAUAACCUCGAAGGUCUGGAGAGUCUGGAUCUGUCAGAAAACCUGAUAGAUCAUCUGCCUAAAAGCAGCUUUGGUGGGUUGGUGAGACUGCAGACUCUGGAUCUGUCCAGAAACCGUCUGAGUUCUGCUCCUGCUGAGGCUUUUUCCUACCUCAGCUGGCUGACAAACCUCAACCUGGACCUCAACUCAUGGAACUGCUCCUGUCAGCUGCUGGAACUGGCUGCCUUCCUGUCCACCUUCAUACAACAACCAGACAAGACCCUCUAUAAUGGCCGUAGGAUGGUGUGUGUGAGCGCUGACAACCCGUCAGUUAUCACAGUGCUGGAGCUGACUGAGGCCAACUGUGUCCCGUCCAAUCAGAACAUCACAGUGCGGAUAGAAGGAAGAGGCAGCGUGACCCCUCACCGGUAUACGCUCGAGAU